ACAUGACUCUCGGCAACGGAUAUCUCGGCUCUCGCAUCGAUGAAGAACGUAGCGAAAUGCGAUACCUGGUGUGAAUUGCAGAAUCCCGCGAACCAUCGAGUCUUUGAACGCAAGUUGCGCCCGAGGCCACUCGGCCGAGGGCACGCCUGCCUGGGCGUCACGC
rnacentral:rRNA from 1 species